UACGGAGGGUGCAAGCGUUAUCCGGAUUCACUGGGUUUAAAGGGUGCGUAGGAGGGCAGGUAAGUCAGUGGUGAAAUCUCCGAGCUUAACUUGGAAACUGCCGUUGAUACUAUCUGCCUUGAAUAUUGUGGAGGUGAGCGGAAUAUGUCAUGUAGCGGUGAAAUGCUUAGAUAUGACAUAGAACACCAAGUGCGAAGGCAGCUCGCUACACAUAUAUUGACUCUGAGGCACGAAAGCGUGGGGAUCAAACAGG
rnacentral:rRNA from 1 species